ACUUGUAUCCCUAUCAUCUUGGCUGUGAUCUUGUUAGAUCUCACAAGCUAAGCAGGGUCUGGCUAGGUUACAAGGAUGAGAAACAUCCAAGGAAUGCCUGUGGGCUGCAGGAA
rnacentral:rRNA from 1 species